UCUCGGGUGACGAGCGGCGGACGGGUGAGUAAUGUCUGGGAAACUGCCUGAUGGAGGGGGAUAACUACUGGAAACGGUAGCUAAUACCGCAUAACGUCGCAAGACCAAAGUGGGGGACCUUCGGGCCUCAUGCCAUCAGAUGUGCCCAGAUGGGAUUAGCUAGUAGGUGGGGUAAUGGCUCACCUAGGCGACGAUCCCUAGCUGGUCUGAGAGGAUGA
rnacentral:rRNA from 1 species